AAUUUCAUAACACCUACUUAUGGAUAAUCUUACUUUUAGUAAGUAGGUGUUAUGAAAUUCUA
rnacentral:antisense_RNA from 1 species